rnacentral:rRNA from 1 species
AUUGAACGCUGGCGGCAGGCCUAACACAUGCAAGUCGAGCGAGCGGCGGACGGGUGAGUAAUGUAUGUGGACUGCCCGAGAGAGGGGGAUAACUACUGGAAACGGUAGCUCAUACCGCAUACUAUCGGAUAAUCCAUAUGGGAUUAGCUAGUAGGUGGGGUAACGGCUCACUUAGGCGACGAUCCCUAGCUGGUCUGAGAGGAUGAUCAGCCACACUGGAACUGAGACACGGCCCAGACUCCUACGGAGGCAGCAUUGGGGAAUAUUGCACAAUGGGCGCAAGCCUGAUGCAGCCAUGCCGCGUGUAUGAAGAAGGCCUUAGGGUUGUAAAGUACUUUCAGUCGGGAGGCGUUACCGACAGAAGAAGCACCGGCUAACUCCGUGCCAGCAGCCGCGGUAAUAC